rnacentral:lncRNA from 1 species
AUUCCUACGUACCGGGCCGUGCUGCUUAUGGCGGCGCUGGAGAGGGGGCGCUGAGCUGUUGGGUAUGAAGUGUAACAGAACAGACUUUACCACCUGAAACUGCUGCUUCAAGUUCAGAUCAGGCAAGGAACAAACCUCGUAACAACUAACAAGACCAAAGAAGAGUACACUUAAGUUGAAGACACAACACUUGAUCUGAAACAAGAAGUUUGUGCCUACUCAACAGCUUUGAAAGAGCACUUCCCAACGCUGCUAGUAGUCUUUGUUUUCUUCAGUGCUGUACUGUGAGAUUGCCCGGUACAGCAGCAGUUGUAUUCUUUAUUAGCUUGGUAGAUCAUUUUCUCUCGCUCUUUUUUUUAAUACUAGCAACUUUCAUCCUUUGAAACGUGUGCUGAAAAAGAAGAAUCAGCAAAUACUACUGAAAGUGCAAUAUUUGAGUAUCACUGCGAGUUUCCAGAUUUUCUAAAGUUAGACAUAAAGGAAUUCAGAAAGGAGUCAUCAGUGUAUAGGUAAUAAAAGGAAGAAGCACCAAUGAAGAGAGCAAAGACAUAG